GAUGAAGAACGCAGCGAAAUGCGAUAAGUAAUGUGAAUUGCAGAAUUCAGUGAAUCAUCGAAUCUUUGAACGCACAUUGCGCCCGCCAGUAUUCUGGCGGGCAUGCCUGUUCGAGCGUCAUUACAACCCUCAGGCCCCCGGGCCUGGCGUUGGGGAUCGGCGGAGCCCCCCGUGGGCACACGCCGUCCCCCAAAUGCAGUGGCGGUCCCGCCGCAGCUUCCACCGCGUAGUAGCUAACACCUCGCGACUGGAGAGCGGCGCGGCCACGCCGUAAAACACCCAACUCUUCUGAAGUUGACCUCGAAUCAGGUAGGAAUACCCGCUGAACUUAAGCAUAUCAAUAAGCGGAGGA
rnacentral:misc_RNA from 1 species